rnacentral:rRNA from 1 species
AUUGAACGCUGGCGGCAUGCUUUACACAUGCAAGUCGAACGGCAGCGCUGGGCAACCUGGCGGCGAGUGGCGAACGGGUGAGUAAUAUAUCGGAACGUACCCAAGAGUGGGGGAUAACGUAGCGAAAGUUACGCUAAUACCGCAUACGAUCUAAGGAUGAAAGUGGGGGAUCGCAAGACCUCAUGCUCCUGGAGCGGCCGAUAUCUGAUUAGCUAGUUGGUGAGGUAAAGGCUCACCAAGGCGACGAUCAGUAGCUGGUCUGAGAGGACGACCAGCCACACUGGAACUGAGACACGGUCCAGACUCCUACGGGAGGCAGCAGUGGGGAAUUUUGGACAAUGGGCGCAAGCCUGAUCCAGCAAUGCCGCGUGAGUGAAGAAGGCCUUCGGGUUGUAAAGCUCUUUUGUCAGGGAAGAAACGGUAGAGGCUAAUAUCCUUUGCUAAUGACGGUACCUGAAGAAUAAGCACCGGCUAACUACGUG